GAUGACUUACUUUAUUUUUGUUUGCCAUCUCUAGACCAAGAUAGGGAAACAAACUCAACUUCAUCCAGGAUAUUAUAGCUUUAUACUAUAAGCCAUUUAUUUAAACAUAAGAUAAUUCGAAAAAUUCUCCUAUUUUGAAAUCUUUUUAAGCUCUGAAAGUUGAAGUUUUUCUUGUUUAGUUGCAUGUAUUUUUAAAAUCUGUUCAAAAUCAGGUCUGAUAAUAGACAUUUUAGUAUUAGACUUAAAAUGGCAAUUGAUUAAAUUUUACUUGAUUUAUAUAAAUCAGAGCCAUUAGAUAUAAUUGAUAAGAAGGCUAUGCGAAAUGUGUUUCUAAGACUACUUCUAAAAAAAAAUUAACAGUUUUCCGCAUUAAGAGUACAAAUUAGUUCGUUCCAAAAUUAAACUAAAAAUCGUCAUUCUUGAAAUAUAUUUGGCAGCAAACAAUUAACAAUCCUCUCUAAAAUUAUCAAAAUUACUCCCUGUUCAUUUCAAAUAGCCAGAUCUAUUCAUUCAAAAGGGAUCGAACUAAUUUAUACCUUCAGUACUCCAAAUAUAUAUUGUCAUAAUGGCAAAGACUCAAUUCUUAGUUUUAUUUCAUCUUACGAUGAAUCGCUUAAACAAAACGAAGGGCAAGAAGAAUUCAAGAAAAUCUAAAGGAAAGCGAAAGAGUCCGAGUCGCAAAUUAAAAGUAAGUAACAUUAACCUAUUUGUGUGUCGUAACAGAAGCCAGUGGAGAUAUUUCUUACGAUCAUUCAAAGGAUCCUUCUGGUGAAGCGGCAAAAUGUGUAAUUUUUCCAAGAAACUACAAGAAAACUAAAAGGAAAGGAAACAUAUUAUUCACUCUUGAAGCAUAUAGCAUAUAUAUACAUAUAUAUAUAUAACCACGAGACUACAGAUAUUUAGUUGUAAAGUAGUUAAACACCUCAAAACUAACAAGUUAAAAACCAUGAAGCCAAGCGAAA